rnacentral:rRNA from 1 species
UACAGAGGUCUCAAGCGUUGUUCGGAUUCAUUGGGCGUACAGGGUGCGUAGGCGGCGCGGUAAGUCGGGUGUGAAAUCUCGGGGCUUAACUCCGAAACUGCAUUCGAUACUGCCGUGCUUGAGGACUGGAGAGGAGACUGGAAUUUACGGUGUAGCGGUGAAAUGCGUAGAUAUCGUAAGGAAGACCAGUGGCGAAGGCGGGUCUCUGGACAGUUCCUGACGCUGAGGCGCGAAAGCGUGGGGAGCAAACGGG